rnacentral:tRNA from 1 species
AUCUCUAAAGUUUAAAAAACAUUAGAUUGCAAAUCUAAAAUUAUAAAGAGAAAAGCCUUUAGAGAUA